rnacentral:rRNA from 1 species
GAUGAACGCUGGCGGCGUGCCUAAUACAUGCAAGUCGAGCGAAUGGAUUUAGAGCUUGCUCUUAUGAAGUUAGCGGCGGACGGGUGAGUAACACGUGGGUAACCUGCCCAUAAGACUGGGAUAACUCCGGGAAACCGGGGCUAAUACCGGAUAACAUUUUGAACCGCAUGGUUCGAAAUUGAAAGGCGGCUUCGGCUAUCACUUAUGGAUGGACCCGCGUCGCAUUAGCUAGUUGGUGAGGUAACGGCUCACCAAGGCAACGAUGCGUAGCCGACCUGAGAGGGUGAUCGGCCACACUGGGACUGAGACACGGCCCAGACUCCUGCGGGAGGUAGCAGUAGGGAAUCUUCCGCAAUGGACGAAAGUCUGACGGAGCAACGCCGCGUGAGUGAUGAAGGCUUUCGGGUCGUAAAACUCUGUUGUUAGGGAAGAACAAGUGCUAGUUGAAUAAGCUGGCACCUUGACGGUACCUAACCAGAAAGCCACGGCUAACUACGUGCCAGCCGCCGCCGUAA